rnacentral:misc_RNA from 1 species
GUACCUUCAAGCUUUGCUUGGUGUUGGGCGUCUUUUUGUCUCUCCUUUGCGGGAGACUCGCCUUAAAACGAUUGGCAGCCGGCCUACUGGUUUCGGAGCGCAGCACAUUUUUUUGCGCUUUGUAUCAGGAGAAAAGGACGGUACUCCAUCAAGACGUUUACAUUUUUCACUU